AUACCAUGAUGAGGACAUCUCCUAAGUAACUCUUUAAAUGCACCAUACAAACUCUCAUCUUCAAGUUGAUAGAAAGAUGUGAUCUUGUUUCUCAAUUU
rfam:Citrus clementina cultivar Clemenules unplaced genomic scaffold scaffold_5, whole genome shotgun sequence.